rnacentral:rRNA from 1 species
GUGUCAGCCGCCGCGGUAAUACGUAGGAUGCAAGCGUUAUCCGGAAUCACUGGGCGUAAAGCGUCCGCAGGUGGGAAAGAAAGUCUCUAAUUAAAUCCCGGUGCUUAACAUCGGACCUGUUAGAGAAACUCCUUUUCUAGAGGAUGGGAGAGGCAAGUGGAAUUCUCGGUGUAGGGGUAAAAUCCGUAGAUAUCGAGAGGAACACCAAAAGCGAAGGCAGCUUGCUGGAACAUUCCUGACACUCAUGGACGAAAGCGUGGGGAGCGAAAAGGAUUAGAAACCCUUGUAGUCC